AGAACUGGGUUUUCCACAUCUGCCUCAGUGUCACCUAUACAUUUGUCUAUCUUCUUGAGGUCAACACCAAGAGCUUCAAUUACGUGAUCUGCACAUUCUUUGGUGUAUCUCUUGUCUUUCAUUGGACAACGGAUUGCAAAGUCAGUCACAUAAUCCCACCAGAGCCAUGGCUUCCCGCUUUCGUUGGCCACUUUAAAGAAGCAAACUUGACGUAGAUUUUGAACCACAACAUCUUUUCCAUCAUAUCCUCGACUAAAGUCCUGCUCAGGAUCUGGAGCAC
rnacentral:misc_RNA from 1 species